rnacentral:rRNA from 1 species
GAGUUUGAUCCUGGCUCAGAUCUGAACGCUGGCGGCAGGCUUAACACAUGCAAGUCGAACGGUAGCAGGAGAAAGCUUGCUUUCUUGCUGACGAGUGGCGGACGGGUGAGUAAUGCUUGGGAAUCUGGCUUAUGGAGGGGGAUAACUACGGGAAACUGUAGCUAAUACCGCGUAAUAUCUUCGGAUUAAAGGGUGGGACCGUAAGGCCACCUGCCAUAAGAUGAGCCCAAGUGGGAUUAGGUAGUUGGUGGGGUAAAGGCCUACCAAGCCGACGAUCUCUAGCUGGUCUGAGAGGAUGACCAGCCACACUGGAACUGAGACACGGUCCAGACUCCUACGGGAGGCAGCAGUGGGGAAUAUUGCACAAUGGGGGGAACCCUGAUGCAGCCAUGCCGCGUGAAUGAAGAAGGCCUUCGGGUUGUAAAGUUCUUUCGGUGAUGAGGAAGGCAGGUAAGUUAAUAGCUUACUUGAUUGACGUUAGUCACAGAAGAAGCACCGGCUAACUCCGUGCCAGCAGCCGCGGUAAUACGGAGGGUGCGAGCGUUAAUCGGAAUGACUGGGCGUAAGGGCACGCAGGCGGUGACUUAAGUGAGAUGUGAAAGCCCCGGGCUUAACCUGGGAAUUGCAUUUCAUACUGGGUCGCUAGAGUAUUUUAGGGAGGGGUAGAAUUCCACGUGUAGCGGUGAAAUGCGUAGA